AUACUGUAUGGUGGAUGGCUUGGCUCGAGUUCCGAAGAAGGAUGUGGCAAGCUGCACUAAGCAGGGGGGAGCCGCAUGCAGGCUUCGAUCCCCUGAUAUCUGAAUGGGAUUCCCAUCUUUUGAUGUUCGCGGCCGCAAGGCUUCGAACGGGGACGCGGUGAAUUGAAGCAUCUUACUAACCGCAGGAAAAGAAAACAAUCGUGAUUCUCUGAGUAAGGGCGACUGAAAGGGGAACAGCACAAACCGAACCUUGCCAGAAAUGGCGUGGGAUGUGGUGUUUGGACCUGGGUCCACCUUCACUUUCUGACCAGAAGUGCGCUGGAAUGCGCUGCGAUACAGGGUGAUAGCCCCGUAAGGGAAAGAGAGAAAGGUGUUGCCAGGUAUCCGGAGUACCAUUGCUCGGAAAUGCAGUGGAAAGGCGGGGGCCAAGAACCCCCAAUGCUAAAUAACGCUCGAGUCCGAUAGUGAACUAGUACGGCGACGGAAAGCUGAAAAGUAUCCUUAACAGGAGAUGAAAAGAUCCUGAACCCAUACAGUGAUAGGUCGAUGCAGCCUGCUUAUCCCCUCAAAAGGAACGCCUCGCAAGGGGCUAGUACGUGGAGGGGAGUUUCUGGUUGCAUCGCCAGUUUCGAAAAAUUUGGCAAGGAGUGUUUCUCUGUGGCGAGAUGAAAGUCGUAGCGAAAGCGAACGCUGCGCAGCCGCGCAAGCGGUCAGGCAGCUGGGUGUGAAAGCGCCCAAGUCACAGGGUGACUACCCGAAACCCCACGAUCUAGUCCUGGGCUGGACGAAGCCCUGGGAAACCAGGGUGGAGGUCCGUAUCUAUUGCUGAGAUUCAAAUCGCAUAGGUGAUUUGGGACUAGGGGUGAAAAACCAAUCGAGUGGGGUGAUAGCUGGUUCCCUCCGAAAUGAGCUAUAGCUCAGCCUCGCCGGAGGCCGCGAUGGGGGUAGAGAUACUGAUUGGGGCACCAAGGAGGGAAACUUCCAGUGUUCCUGUCAAACUCAGAAUCCCACCGCGCCGUAGAUGGCGGGAGUGAGGCAACGGGGUAAGCUCGUUAUCCGAGAAGGUGAUAACCUAGACCGCGGUUAAGGUCCCUAAGUGUCUUUUAAGUGAGGAAAAGAGUUUCCAACCACAGACAGUGGGAAUGUAGGCAUAGAAGCUGCCAUCAUUUAAAGAGUGGGUAACACCUCACCCACCGAGGUUGGAGGCCUUGAUAAUGGACGGGACUAAAGAGACCACCGAGACCGCGGACGUCGCAAUUGCGAACGUGGUAGGGGGGUGACCUGCAGUGGGCAGAAGCGCUUGCAUAAGCUGGCGUGGACCCUGCAGGGACAAGAAUCUUGCUUUUAGUAACAGCUAAGCGCUGUGAGAAUCUCUGGCUAUACCAAUAGCCUGAGCUCAGACCAGCGCCGCCUGAAGGGCAAGGGUUCCUCAGCAAUGACAAUCAACUGAGGGUUAGCCGAUCCUAAGUCACGUCCUAACCGGACUGUGGCGAAAGGGAAACGGGUUAAUAUUCCCGUGCUGGGUGGAUACGUGCGGUAACGCAAGGCGUUCUCCUGACGCUUCGGGAUAGGUCGACAGUAGAGAUGCUGUUAACACGUAUAGCUCCGUGGAGUGCCGUCAUGGUGAGAAGCGGAGUAAACGUGGAAGGCUUGAAAGAGUUCGGCUGAUUCCUGGAGACCAUGAAAAGGGAGACGCAAGGAUUCCAUCCAAUCGUACCGAGAACCGUCACUGGUGCCCCUCGCUGUAGAGGCGAAGGCGUCUGGGUGAAAUCAGUCUAGGGAAUUCGGCAAAAUGGUCCCGUAACUUUGGAAGAAGGGAUGCCUAUGACCCCUGCUGAGCAGGGAGUUAUAGGUCUUAGUGACCAAGAGGAUACGACUGUUUAACACAAACGUAGGGGGCUGCUAAUUGGAAACGACAUGUAUAGCUCCUGAGGCCUGGCCAGUACCAGUGUGUCAAAGUCUGUUUCAACGGACCUAAGCCCUGGCAAACGCCGGCGGUAACUCUGACCGUCUUAACGGCAGUGCGCGCAAGCGCGCGCCGUGGAGAUCUCUGCCCUGACGAAGAAAAGCGCGCAAGCGCCUUUUAGAGUUGGGGUGGUGGUAUACGGUCACCGAUCCGCGAUUGCGGUGAAGGUGAACGUUACUUGGAUAAAGGUAGCGUAAUCCCUUGUCGAUUAAUUGUCGACCUGCAUCAAUGGCUUAACGAGAUCCUCGCUGUCCCGGGCUGAUGCCCAGUGAACUAAGAUGUCCUGCGCAUAUUCAGGAGUCCUCCAGCGGGACGAGAAUGUCCGGCGGCUUGCACAGCGUGUGCCAAGCCGCCUCGGCCUCGAAGACCCCGUUGAACUUUACUGCAGUCUGUUGUUGUGGUAUGUGAAUGGUCUUAUAGCGUAGGCGGGAGCAUCGCACCAGGGGCGCCAGUUCCUGGGAAGGCACCAAUGUAACACCGCCAUACCGUUUACAUAUUGCUUACCUAUUAGGGACAGCAAUUGAUGGGCAGUUUGACUGGGGCGGUACGCGUUUAGCAAAGCAUCAAACGCGCCCUAAGGUUUCCUCACCGCGGUCAGAAUUACGACUAGUUGUGCUAGUUGUACUGAUUAUCGCGGGUAGAGUGUAAGGGCAAAAGGAAGCCUGAUAGUACCUUUGGUAAUAAGAGGUGCUAACACGAAAGUGCGGCCUAGCGAUCCCCGAUGCUCCAUUCAUUGGGAGCUCGGUCUAACAGAAAACUCGGCAGCUUACGCCAAUUGAAACAAGCUGCCUUGUCUGGAUAAGCUACCACGGGGAUAACUGAGUCGUGGCGGGUGAGAGUUCAUAUCGACCUCGUUCAUUGCUUCUUCGCUGUCGGCUCGGCUCAUCCUGCGCGUGCAGCAGCGUGCAAGGGUGGAGGUGUUCACUCAUUAAAGAGUCUCGCUAGCUGGGUUAAAUACGGUGCGAACUUAGUCAGAAGAAGAAAGAAAAUAUGCAAGCGUCCUUUUUUGUUUAACCCCCCCUAAAAAGGGAAAGACCACAAAAAAGAAAACGAUGCGUAUUACAAGGCAAUCUUCUGGCUGAGGCAUAAGCCAGUAUGGUCUCUAUCUGCUGGAGGUGUCGGUUGUCUGAGGGGAAGGUACCUUUAGUACGAAAGGAACAGGGUGCCGUGGCCUCUGGUGUAUCGGUUGUGCAAGCAUUGCCGAGUAGCUAUGCCAUGGGG
rnacentral:rRNA from 1 species